rfam:Asian citrus Psyllid, Diaphorina citri - Florida Strain, whole genome shotgun sequence.
ACUAGUGGCAAUAUUGCGUUGAAUACACCACUUCCUAAUGGAUCACUGAAGUUAAGCAACGUUGCGUGUGAUUAGUAACCGAAUGGGUGACCAUCGGGGCAAUCCUGUGCUGCUGUGU